GACGAACGCUGGCGGCGUGCUUAACACAUGCAAGUCGAACGAAGAGCGACGGAAGCUUGCUUCUAUCAAUCUUAGUGGCGAACGGGUGAGUAACGCGUAAUCAACCUGCCCUUCAGAGGGGGACAACAGUUGGAAACGACUGCUAAUACCGCAUACGAUCUAAUCUCGGCAUCGAGGAUGGAUGAAAGGUGGCCUCUACAUGUAAGCUAUCACUGAAGGAGGGGAUUGCGUCUGAUUAGCUAGUUGGAGGGGUAACGGCCCACCAAGGCGAUGAGCAGUAGCCGGUCGGAGAGGAGGGACGGCCACAUUGGGACUGAGACACGGCCCAGGCUCCUACGGGAGGCAGCAGUGGGGAAUCUUCCGCAAUGGACGAAAGUCUGACGGAGCAACGCCGCGUGAGUGAUGACGGCCUUCGGGUUGUAAAGCUCUGUUAAUCGGGACGAAAGGCCUUCUUGCGAAUAGUGAGGAGGAUUGACGGUACCGGAAUAGAAAGCCACGGCUAACUACGUG
rnacentral:rRNA from 1 species